GUUAAAGUGGCAGAAACGGGAAUUGCAUAAAACUUAAGAUUUUAACACUAGAGGUUCAACCCCUCUCUUUAACA
rnacentral:tRNA from 1 species